CCCCAGCCUCGCCAAUCGCUCCUACGGGCUCCCGCUGCAGCCGUGGGCCCUGAGGACUCAGUCUUCUGGGCAGUUGGCGCUGUUUCCGUGUUCUUGCAGGGAACCUGUAAGAACUUUAAUGCGUGGUUUCCGUGGAAUUCCUUACAUUGGUGCCAUGACUCGUGAUGGGUCCUUCCACUGUCUCUUAAGCAAGUGGAAAGCCAUCUGACGCCCAAUGACCCCUGGACACAGCCCUACCAGCCAUUCGCCUGGACGCUCAGCUUUUUGCAUGCAACACCAGACUUCAGAUUGUACGCAUGGCUUUUUGUUCUUCUCUCAUAGAAGCACUCACCCCCAGAUGCCUUUACAACCUGCUCUUCCCCAACCAGACUUCAACCAUGGACCCUCCUCAAUUAACCUGAUUUCUAAAAAGGGAACGCCAAACUGCUUGCCCCAUGCUGCCCCCUUUCCACCUCAAAGAAGCCAGAGCGGUCAUCGACCCUCCUUCCCAACAGCAGUAAAGGAGAUUCUAAAAUUAGAGGGGUGAAUGAAGCCAGAAUUGGGGACAAGCAGUUAGUGUAUAAAUAGGGGAUCAGUCAAAUCGAGGAAAUGAAGUUCAUGAAAACAUCUGCCUCUGGAAGUAUGGAAGUUGAAG